CGGUUUACGGGUACGAGUAUCGCCAUUUUGUUUACCAAUUUUUGCUGAUGUCAGCAAUUUUACCCGUAAUUUCUACCCGUUUCCCCGCGGUAAACCGGGGUCUACACGUAAACAACAAACGGGUACGGGUGGUUUCUGUUUACUAUUUUUGGCCCUUUUAAAUAGUACAAAUUUUCAGCAUCUUACCCCAAUAAAUAAUGCACAUAUGCUGGUCAAAGUUUUCAACAAUUUACGACGAACCUCAACAGCGAAAGUUGCCGUUCUUUGAUCGGUUUUCUCACGCCGGAGUAUCUUGGAUUUCUUAAGUUACAAGUUAUUCCCCGAUUUACGGGUACGUGUAUAUCACCCGUACCCGUAAACCGGAAUCGGGGUAUCUUAACCUCUCUAAUGUAAACACUUACGGCCCAGGCCUUGUUUUUAUGGCAACGUGUGUCCACAGGGCACAGUGAG